CUACGGGAGGCCUAAACAUGCAAGUCGAGGGGUAACGGAAGUAGCUUGCUACUAGACGACGACCGGCGCACGGGUGAGUAACGCGUAUGUAAUCUGCCUUGUACAGAGGGAUAGCCCAGAGAAAUUUGGAUUAAUACCUCAUAGUAUUACUGAAUCGCAUGAUUUGGUAAUUAAAGCUCCGGCGGUACAAGAUGAACAUGCGUGACAUUAGCUAGUUGGUAAGGUAACGGCUUACCAAGGCCACGAUGUCUAGGGGUUCUGAGAGGAUGAUCCCCCACACUGGUACUGAGACACGGACCAGACUCCUACGGGAGGCAGCAGUGAGGAAUAUUGGUCAAUGGACGCAAGUCUGAACCAGCCAUCCCGCGUGAAGGAUGACUGCCCUAUGGGUUGUAAACUUCUUUUAUAUGCAAAUAAACCUACUUUCGUGAAAGUAGCUGAAGGUAGCAUAUGAAUAAACACCGGCUAACUCCGUGCCAGCAGCCGCGGUAAUACGGAGGGUGUAAGCGUUAUCCGGAUUUAUUGGGUUUAAAGGGUACGUAGGCGGUAAUAUAAGUCAGUGGUGAAAUCCUGCAGCUCAACUGUAGAACUGCCAUUGAAACUGUA
rnacentral:rRNA from 1 species